rnacentral:misc_RNA from 1 species
AUUUAAUGGUGUCUCUCACACUGCCGAGUCUGCAGAUCUGCUUGCUGCUUUGUCUAGCAUGAAUCUUUCAAAUGGUAGUCAGAAUAACUCUCAGCAGCAUGCAUAUCUGAAGAGAUCUGAAUCUGCUCAGUUUAAUAUGUCGUCCAAAUCUCACUCUGCUAAAGGACCAUAUAUUGACACUGGUGCCGGCAACAAUGGGCGGUCAGACCUUAACAGUUCUAACCAUCAUGACGAUCUGCACAGAUCUGCGGUUGCCUCUAAUAAUUCUUAUGUGAAAGGAUCUCAAACAUCCACACUGAAUGGUGGAGGUGGUGUACUUUCUCAAUAUCCGCAUAUGGAUAGUCCUUCCAAUUAUGGUUUAGGUAGUCAUUCCGUCAAUCCAGUGACAAGCCAUCUUGGCAACUAUAAUCUGCCUCCUUUGUUUGAAACUGCUGCUGCCGCGUCUGGGAUGGCUUUACCUGGAAUGGACUCUCGAAUGCUAGGGGCAUCUCAUUUGAACUCUGGGGUCUCAGAGCAGAAUCUGGGCAGAAUGGGAAAUCAUAUGUCUGGAAGUGCUUUACAGGCAUCCUUCAUGGAUCCUAUGUAUCUUCAGUACUUGACAGCUGAAUAUGUUGCACAGGUUUCCGCACUGAAUGAUCCUUCCAUGGAUAGGAAUUACAUGGGCAAUUCUUAUAUGGACUUGUUUCAGAAAGCUUAUCUUGGUAAUGCACUAUCUCCAAAGUCGCAAUAUGGUGUCCCACUCAGCAGUAAAGGUAGUGGUUCAAAUCAUCUUGGCUAUUAUGGCAAUCCUGCAUUUGGAGUUGGUUUAUCAUAUCCUGGAAGUCCAUUGGCAAGUUCUGUCGUUCCAAACUCUCCAGUCGGUCCUGGUAGUCCAAUGAGGCACAGUGAUUAUAAUAUGAGGUUCUCUGGUGCAAUGAGAAACAUAACUUCAGGUGUAAUCGGAUCAUGGCACUUGGAUAACAUGGAAAACAGCUUUGCUUCCUCUCUAUUGGAAGAGUUCAAGAGUAAUAAGACCAGGUGUUUUGAGCUUUCAGAAAUUGCUGGUCACGUUGUCGAGUUCAGUGCGGACCAGUAUGGUAGCCGGUUCAUCCAACAAAAACUGGAAACUGCCACCCCUGAGGAGAAAAACAUGGUUUUUCAGGAAAUUAUUCCCCAAGCUCUUACUUUGAUGACUGAUGUUUUUGGUAAUUACGUAAUCCAGAAGUUUUUUGAACAUGGAAUGGCAUCUCAGAGGAGAGAAUUGGCUAGCAAACUCUUUAGCCAUGUAUUAACACUGAGCCUUCAGAUGUACGGUUGCCGCGUGAUUCAGAAGGCUAUAGAAGUGGUAGAUGUGGACCAGAAGAUUAAAAUGGUUGAGGAGCUUGAUGGUCAUGUUAUGCGCUGUGUACGAGAUCAGAAUGGUAAUCAUGUCAUUCAGAAAUGUAUUGAAUGCGUACCAGAACUUCAUAUCCAAUUUAUCGUCUCAACAUUUUUUGGACAAGUUAUUACUCUCUCAACCCAUCCAUAUGGCUGUCGAGUUAUACAGAGAGUAUUGGAACACUGUGACAAUCCAGAAACUCAAAGUAAAGUGAUGGAAGAAAU